GCACAAGCGGUGGAGCAUGUGGUUUAAUUCGACGCAACGCGAAGAACCUUACCUGGGCUCGAAAUGUAUAGGAAUCCGGUAGAAAUAUCGGCGUCCCGCAAGGGACCUGUAUAUAGGUGCUGCAUGGCUGUCGUCAGCUCGUGUCGUGAGAUGUUGGGUUAAGUCCCGCAACGAGCGCAACCCUUACCUCCAGUUGCUACCAUUUAGUUGAGCACUCUGGCGGAACCGCCUCGGAUAACGGGGAGGAAGGUGGGGAUGACGUCAAGUCCUCAUGGCCUUUAUGUCCAGGGCUACACACGUGCUACAAUGGUCGGUACAAACCGUCGCAAACCCGUGAGGGGGAGCUAAUCGGAAAAAGCCGACCUCAGUUCGGAUCGUAGUCUGCAACUCGACUACGUGAAGCUGGAAUCGCUAGUAAUCGCGGAUCAGAAUGCCGCGGUGAAUACGUUCCCGGGC
rnacentral:rRNA from 1 species